UGAUGUAGCUUCAUGGUAGAGCCCUUGCCUGGCAUGCUUGAAGCCCUGGGUUUAAUCCCCAGUACUUCAA
rnacentral:tRNA from 1 species